rnacentral:rRNA from 1 species
GAUGAACGCUGGCGGCGUGCCUAACACAUGCAAGUCGAACGAAGCACUGAAAACGGAGAUUCGUCGAAGUUUUCUUUGACUUAGUGGCGGACGGGUGAGUAAUGCGUGAGCAACCUGCCUUUCAGAGGGGGACGAACAGUUGGAACGACUGCUAAUACCGCAUAACGUAUUUAGGGGGCGAUCCCUUGAAUACCAAAGGAGCAAUCCGCUGAAAGAUGGGCUCACGUCUGAUUAGCUAGUUGGUGGGGUAACGGCUCACCAAGGCUGCGAUCAGUAGCCGGACUGAGAGGUUGAACGGCCACAUUGGGACUGAGAUACGGCCCAGACUCCUACGGGAGGCAGCAGUGGGGAAUAUUGGGCAAUGGGCGAAAAGCCUGACCCAGCAACGCCGCGUGAAGGAAGAAGGUCUUCGGAUUGUAAACUUCUUUUAUGAGGGACGAAGGACGUGACGGUACCUCAUGAUAAGCCACGGCUAACUACGUGCCAGCCGCCGCUGUAAC